UACGUAGGGGGCAAGCGUUGUCCGGAAUCAUUGGGCGUAAAGCGCGUGUAGGCGGCUCGAUAAGUCCGUUCUGAAAGUCCAGGGCUCAACCCUGGGAUGCGGAUGGAUACUGUCGAGCUCGAGUCCGGAAGAGGCGAGUGGAAUUCCUGGUGUAGCGGUGAAAUGCGUAGAUAUCGUUUGGAACGCCAAUGGUGAAAACAGGUUGCUGGGAGUGUGCUGACGCUGAGACACGAAAGCCAGGGGAGCAAACGGG
rnacentral:rRNA from 1 species